CUUGACCGAGCCGAGCAGGAGCGGCCGCUCGCGGUCCUGCCCGUAGGUGGCCAGCAGGGCCUGCACCUC
rnacentral:antisense_RNA from 1 species